ACACACACACACACACACACACACACACACACACACACACACAGAGAGAGAGAAACAACCUAUAUCCCAAAGCACUAACCUGGGAUCAGUUUUAAUAACAGGCAGCGCGUGGAUUGGCAUGGGGAUGGGGGCUGGCGCUCAGGUGAGCUGAUCCCAGGGAGAAGAUGCCUGUGGUCAGAUGUCACCUGCCCCCUCAAUGCCUCUGAUGCACGGCCUUCAUACCUACUGGGUCAAGAAGAUUGGAAUCAGGGAGGAGAGGAGGAGGGGACGGUAAUUGAAGAUUUGUCCAUAAAGGAACAGUGAGAGAGGCGCUUGCAUGACUGUGACCUUGCAGAAGAAGAGGAAACUAAUUUCGCUCCAGUUUGGUUCUAGCAGCAGAACAAGCACCUGUCAACUAAAUACAAAAUAAAGAAACUUUAUUCUCAGGAGGCUUGGAGAGCAGCAGAUAGGAGCACUGGUUUUAUUAACAUUAAAAAGGAAGGUAGUCUUAUCAUAGCUAGACCAGUCCCACGUGGGUCCUCUUGAGCGCUAUUAAAAAAGCUAAUGGGGAGGGAUGUGUGGAUGGCAUUGGCCCCUUGCGACGACUGCCAAAUGUAUAAAAAGAAAAUGAUGAGCCCUUUAAAAAUCUUGUGCUGCACCUUAAUUAACCAUCCGUGUUUGGUAGUGUAAGGGAGAGGAUGGAAGGAUGCGGGGAGGGAGAGUGGGAGGGGGAGAGAAGGCGAGGGGGGUCUUUCAAGAACAAUGACUUUGAAAUGCAAAGAAGCCGAAGCAGCCUUAUCAAGCAUUUACUUCAUCAUAUCAUAGUGAAGAGGGGAGCAGGAGCAGAAUUCUUGAUUUACCAUCAGUCGUGUUCAGAGAACUGCACAAAGAGGAAGUCUUUUCAUUUGUAUUUUGCACAGGAAACGAAGAUACAAGUGCUGAUCUUUCAUCUCGGGUUGAACUAAGGCAUCAAAGCCGGGUUUGAUACCAGGACUCUCUCGCUCUGUUUGCAGUUUGUCAGUGUGUUCUUGUGUUCCUGCUGUUGCCCCAAAUGAAAGCGAAAGAGCUGCAGAUGAGACAUACUGUACAUGAUGCUGUUGUACAAAUAUGGACGCCAUCAUUCAUCCAGGGAAGGAUACUGAAGAUAUAAAGUACCAGACCGGAAUAUGUUCGGGAUUCAUCCAAUGGCAUUGAGGAGUAUACCAAGUGCAUCGAUGAUGUCAUCCCCACAGUGACAGUACAUACAUACCCCAACCAGAAGCCGUGGAUUACAGGCAACAUUCGCUAAAGGUUAGAGCUGCCGCUUUCAAGGACACUAACCCGGGCACUUAUGAGAUAUCCCGCAAUGCCCACUGACGAACCAUCAAACAGGCAACGAGUCAAUACGGGACUAAGAUAGAAUCCUACUACACUGGCUCUGACGCUCAUCGGAUGUGGCAGGGCUUGUAAACUAUUACGGACUACAAAGGGAAGCCCAGCCGCGAACUGCCCAUUGAUACAAGCCUAUCAGAGGAGCUAAAUGACUUCUAUGCGCACUUCGAGGCAAGCAACACUUAAGCAUGCAUGAGAG
rnacentral:lncRNA from 1 species